ACGGACCGCUGGUGUAUCAGCUGCAUCGCCAGAUGCAUAAGGCUGGGUAGCCACGUCCGGAAGGGAUAAACGCUGAAGGCAUCUAAGCGUGAAGCCCCCCUCAAGAUGAGAUAUCCCUGACUAGUUCAGUAAGACCCCUUGGAGAGUACGAGGUUAGAUAGGCACAAGGUGUAAGCACGGUAACGUGUUCAGCUGAUGUGUACUAAUAGGUCGAGGGCUUAUCCAA
rnacentral:rRNA from 1 species